GAUGAACGCUAGCUACAGGCUUAACACAUGCAAGUCGAGGGGCAGCACAGUGUAGCAAUACACGGGUGGCGACCGGCGCACGGGUGCGUAACGCGUAUCCAACCUUCCCGUUACUCUUGGAUAGCCUUCCGAAAGGGAGAUUAAUACAAGAUGGUAUUCAAAUUCCGCAUGUUAUUUGAAUUAAAGAUUUAUCGGUAACGGAUGGGGAUGCGUGACAUUAGGUAGAUGGUGGGGUAACGGCCCACCAUGCCUACGAUGUCUAGGGGUUCUGAGAGGAAGGUCCCCCACACUGGAACUGAGACACGGUCCAGACUCCUACGGGAGGCAGCAGUGAGGAAUAUUGGUCAAUGGUCGGAAGACUGAACCAGCCAAGUAGCGUGAAGGAUGAAGGUUCUAUGGAUUGUAAACUUCUUUUGUACAAGGGUAAACCCCGAUACGUGUAUCGGGCUGAAAGUACUGUACGAAUAAGGAUCGGCUAACUCCGUG
rnacentral:rRNA from 1 species